UACGGAGGGUGCAAGCGUUAUCCGGAAUCAUUGGGUUUAAAGGGUGCGCAGGCGGUCUAUUAAGUCAGUGGUGAAAACCUCCCGCUCAACGGGAGACCUGCCAUUGAUACUGAUGGACUCGAAUGUAGUUGAAGUAGGCGGAAUGUGUAGUGUAGCGGUGAAAUGCUUAGAUAUUACACAGAACACCGAUAGCGAAGGCAGCUUACUAAGCUACGAUUGACGCUCAUGCACGAAAGCGUGGGGAUCGAACAGG
rnacentral:rRNA from 1 species